rnacentral:rRNA from 1 species
AGAGUUUGAUCAUGGCUCAGAUUGAACGCUGGCGGAAUGCUUUACACAUGCAAGUCGAACGGCAGCACGGACUUCGGUCUGGUGGCGAGUGGCGAACGGGUGAGUAACAUAUCGGAACGUAUCCAAUAAUGGGGGAUAACUAAUCGAAAGGUUGGCUAAUACCGCAUACGCCCUACGGGGGAAAGCUAGGGACCUUCGGGCCUGGCGUUAAUGGAGCGGCCGAUAUCUGAUUAGCUAGUUGGUGGGGUAAAGGCCCACCAAGGCGACGAUCAGUAGCUGGUCUGAGAGGACGACCAGCCACACUGGAACUGAGACACGGUCCAGACUCCUACGGGAGGCAGCAGUGGGGAAUUUUGGACAAUGGGCGCAAGCCUGAUCCAGCCAUUCCGCGUGAGUGAAGAAGGCCUUCGGGUUGUAAAGCUCUUUCGCAAGGGAAGAAAACUUAGGCUCUAACAUAGCCUGAGGUUGACGGUACCUUGAUAAGAAGCACCGGCUAACUACGUGCCAGCAGCCGCGGUAAUACGUAGGGUGCGAGCGUUAAUCGGAAUUACUGGGCGUAAAGCGUGCGCAGGCGGUUUUGUAAGUCAGAUGUGAAAUCCCCGAGCUCAACUUGGGAACUGCGUUUGAAACUACAAGACUAGAAUAUGUCAGAGGGGGGUAGAAUUCCACGUGUAGCAGUGAAAUGCGUAGAGAUGUGGAGGAAUACCAAUGGCGAAGGCAGCCCCCUGGGAUAAUAUUGACGCUCAUGCACGAAAGCGUGGGGAGCAAACAGGAUUAGAUACCCUGGUAGUCCACGCCCUAAACGAUGUCUACUAGUUGUUGGUGGAGUAAAAUCCAUGAGUAACGCAGCUAACGCGUGAAGUAGACCGCCU